AUUGAACGCUGGCGGAAUGCUUUACACAUGCAAGUCGAACGGCAGCACGGGAGCUUGCUCCUGGUGGCGAGUGGCGAACGGGUGAGUAAUAUAUCGGAACGUAUCCAAUAAUGGGGGAUAACUAACCGAAAGGUUAGCUAAUACCGCAUACGCCCUGAGGGGGAAAGCGGGGGGACCGUAAGGCCUCGCGUAAUUGGAGC
rnacentral:rRNA from 1 species